rnacentral:rRNA from 1 species
GGGCCCGCACAAGCAGCGGAGCAUGUGGUUUAAUUCGAAGCAACGCGAAGAACCUUACCAGGUCUUGACAUCCAGUAAAAGCCUAAGAGAUUAGGUGUGUGCUUGCACAUACUGAGACAGGUGGUGCAUGGUUGUCGUCAGCUCGUGUCGUGAGAUGUUGGGUUAAGUCCCGCAACGAGCGCAACCCUUAUGUUCAGUUACUAACGCGUAGAGGCGAGGACUCUGGACAGACUGCCGGGGACAACUCGGAGGAAGGUGGGGACGACGUCAAAUCAUCAUGCCCCUUAUGACCUGGGCUACACACGGUGCUACAAUGGCCUCUACAAAGAGGAGCGAGACCGCAAGGUGGAGCAAAUCUCAUAAAAGAGGUCCCAGUUCGGAUUGAGGGCUGCAACCCGCCCUCAUGAAGUCGGAGUUGCUAGUAAUCGCGAAUCAGCAUGUCG